GGGCGUGUGGUGUAGUGGUAUCACGUCUGCUUUGCAUGCAGAAGGCCCCGAGUUCAAUCCUCGGCACGUCCA
rnacentral:tRNA from 2 species